rnacentral:rRNA from 1 species
GACGAACGCUGGCGGCGUGCUUAACACAUGCAAGUCGAGCGGUAAGGCCCGUUUCGGGGGUACACGAGCGGCGAACGGGUGAGUAACACGUGGGUGACCUGCCCUCAGCUCUGGGAUAAGCCUAGGGAAACCGGGUCUAAUACUGGAUAUGACUCCAUGACGCAUGUUGUGGGGUGGAAAGCCUUGUGCGGCUGAGGAUGGGCCCGCGGCCUAUCAGCUUGUUGGUGGGGGAUGGCCUACCAAGGCGACGACGGGUAGCCGGCCUGAGAGGGCGACCGGCCACACUGGGACUGAGACACGGCCCAGACUCCGUACGGGGGCAGCAGUGGGGAAUCUUGCGCAAGUGGGCGAAAGCCUGACGCAGCGACGCCGCGUGAGG